rnacentral:rRNA from 1 species
UGGGGAAUUUUGGACAAUGGGGGAAACCCUGAUCCAGCCAUCCCGCGUGUGCGAUGAAGGCCUUCGGGUUGUAAAGCACUUUUGGUAGGAAAGAAACGUCAUGGGUUAAUACCCCGUGAAACUGACGGUACCUGCAGAAUAAGCACCGGCUAACUACGUGCCAGCAGCCGCGGUAAUACGUAGGGUGCAAGCGUUAAUCGGAAUUACUGGGCGUAAAGCGUGCGCAGGCGGUUCGGAAAGAAAGAUGUGAAAUCCCAGAGCUCAACUUUGGAACUGCAUUUUUAACUACCGGGCUAGAGUGUGUCAGAGGGAGGUGGAAUUCAGCGUGUAGCAGUGAAAUGCGUAGAUAUGCGGAGAAACACCGAUGGCGAAGGCAGCCUCCUGGGAUAACACUGACGCUCAUGCACGAAAGCGUGGGGAGCAAACAGG